GCCGAAAUGGCGGAAUAGGCAGACGCAAGGGACUUAAAAUCCCUCGAGGGAAACUUCGUGCCGGUUCAAGUCCGGCUUUCGGCACCA
rnacentral:tRNA from 1 species